rfam:Dipodomys ordii contig_62027, whole genome shotgun sequence.
GGGAAUGUGGCUCAGUGGUAGAGUGCUUGCCUAUCAUGCAUGAGGCCCAGGGUUCUAUUUCUCAGUACCA